rnacentral:rRNA from 1 species
CAGCCAAUUGCUUUCGCGUGGCAUGAGCAGCCAGCAGCCGCGCAUAUAACGAGGGCCGGCGGCCGUUGGCACUGCGUGGCUCGAC